rnacentral:tRNA from 1 species
GCCAACGUAGCUCAGUGGAAGAGCGGGCGCUUCAUAAGCGCUAGGUCACAGGUUCGAACCCUGUCGUUGGCACCA